UCAAAUCAUGUGCGUACUA
rnacentral:siRNA from 1 species